rnacentral:tRNA from 4 species
GCCGGCGUAGCUCAGUUGGUAGAGCAACCGAUUCGUAAUCGGUAGGUCAGAGGUUCGACUCCCCUCGCCGGCACCA